GUCGAACGGAGUUAUCAUUUCAGAAGCAAUUAGCUUGCUAAGAGUCCAUGAGAGGAUAACUUAGUGGCGGACGGGUGAGUAACGCGUGGGGAACCUGCCCUGCACCGGGGGAUAACACCUGGAAACAGGUGCUAAUACCGCAUAAGCGCACGAGGCCGCAUGGCCAGGUGUGAAAAACUAAGGUGGUGCAGGAUGGACCCGCGUCUGAUUAGCUUGUUGGUAGGGUAACGGCCUACCAAGGCGACGAUCAGUAGCCGGCCUGAGAGGGUGAACGGCCACAUUGGGACUGAGACACGGCCCAAACUUAUACGGGAGGCAGCAGUGGGGAAUAUUGGACAAUGGGGGAAACCCUGAUCCAGCGACGCCGCGUGAGUGAAGAAGUAUUUCGGUAUGUAAAGCUCUAUCAGCAGGGAAGAAAAUGACGGUACCUGACUAAGAAGCCCCGGCUAACUACGUGCCAGCAGCCGCGGUAAUACGGAGGAUGCGAGCGUUAUCCGGAUUUACUGGGUGUAAAGGGCGUGUAGGCGGGGAAGCAAGUCAGAUGUGAAAACCACGGGCUCAACCUGUGGCCUGCAUUUGAAACUGUUUUUCUUGAGUGCUGGAGAGGCAAUCGGAAUUCCGUGUGUAGCGGUGAAAUGCGUAGAUAUACGGAGGAACACCAGUGGCGAAGGCGGAUUGCUGGACAGUAACUGACGCUGAGGCGCGAAAGCGUGGGG
rnacentral:rRNA from 1 species